GUGUCAGCCGCCGCGGUAAUACGUAGGGUGCAAGCGUUACUCGGAAUUACUAGGCGUGAAGCGCGUGUAGGCGGGUUCCUAAGUCUAUCGUGAAAUUUCACAGCUCAACUGUGAAAGGUCGAUAGAUACUGGGAAUCUAGAGUGAGGCAGGGGGAACCGGAAUUCCCGGUGUAGCGGUGAAAUGCGUAGAUAUCGGGAGGAACGCCGAAGGCGAAAGCGGGUUCCUGGGCCUAUACUGACGCUGAGACGCGAAAGCUAGGGGAGCAAACAGGAUUAGAUACCCUGGUAGUCCUAGCCGUAAACGAUGUAGACUAGGUGUGGGAGGUAUCGACCCCUUCCGUGCCGCAGCUAACGCGUUAAGUCUACCGCCUGGGGAGUACGGCCGCAAGGUUAAAACUCAAAUGAAUUGACGGGG
rnacentral:rRNA from 1 species